rnacentral:rRNA from 1 species
AUUGCCCUAGUAACGGCGAGUGAAGCGGCAACAGCUCAAAUUUGAAAUCUGGCUCUCGGGCCCGAGUUGUAAUUUGUAGAGGAUGCUUUUGAUGCGGUGCCUUCCGAGUUCCCUGGAACGGGACGCCAUAGAGGGUGAGAGCCCCGUCUGGUUGGAUGCCAAAUCUCUGUAAAGCUCCUUCGACGAGUCGAGUAGUUUGGGAAUGCUGCUCUAAAUGGGAGGUAUAUGUCUUCUAAAGCUAAAUAUUGGCCAGAGACCGAUAGCGCACAAGUAGAGUGAUCGAAAGAUGAAAAGCACUUUGAAAAGAGAGUUAAAAAGUACGUGAAAUUGUUGAAAGGGAAGCGUUUAUGACCAGACUUGGGCUUGGUUAAUCAUCUGGGGUUCUCCCCAGUGCACUUUUCCAGUCCAGGCCAGCAUCAGUUUUCGCCGGGGGAUAAAGGCUUCGGGAAUGUGGCUCCCUCCGGGGAGUGUUAUAGCCCGUUGCGUAAUACCCUGGCGGGGACUGAGGUUCGCGCAUCUGCAAGGAU